UCCCAGGGUUAUUAUGAAACCUAAAUGAGAAGCCUAUGUGCCCCAUAAGACCUGGGACGCCCUGGGUUCCAUGAGCAUGCAGCACUGAACACCGAUAUUUAUUAAUGAGGCAACAGACAUGAAGAGAAACUGAUUUGUUGGAAGACCCUUGUUAGGUGUUCAGGAUCAUAUCUGAGAGCUGACGGAGUCAUUCUGAGCCUUUGUGAUCUCUGGUGCAGAACGUAACCUCCUUGAGGACAGGAAUAGUUGCCUUUUUGUAAU
rnacentral:lncRNA from 1 species